AGUGAACGCUGGCGGUAGGCCUAACACAUGCAAGUCGAACGGCAGCACAGUAAGAGCUUGCUCUUACGGGUGGCGAGUGGCGGACGGGUGAGGAAUACAUCGGAAUCUACUUUUUCGUGGGGGAUAACGUAGGGAAACUUACGCUAAUACCGCAUACGACCUACGGGUGAAAGCAGGGGAUCUUCGGACCUUGCGCGAUUGAAUGAGCCGAUGUCGGAUUAGCUAGUUGGCGGGGUAAAGGCCCACCAAGGCGACGAUCCGUAGCUGGUCUGAGAGGAUGAUCAGCCACACGGGAACUGAGACACGGUCCAGACUCCUACGGGAGGCAGCAGUGGGGAAUAUGGGCCAAUGGGCGCAAGCCUGAUCCAGCCAUACCGCGUGGGUGAAGAAGGCCUUCGGGUUGUAAAGACCUUUUGUUGGGAAAGAAAAGCAGCAGGUUAAUACCCCGCUGUUCUGACGGUACCCAAAGAAUAAGCACCGGCUAACUUCGUG
rnacentral:rRNA from 1 species